GGGAGUAUUCGACACUUGAAAGCAUUCGGAUAUUGUGUGUGGUUUUUGUAUAGAAAUCCUCGAACUGAGACCGGCCAUUGCCACAUUUUCUCUGGAACUAUUUUGGGCUUCUACCUUGUGUUUGGCUGGUCAACAUUUUCCCUCGAUAGCGAUUCCAAACCACCGAAUCGAUCGGAGUGCUUUUUGGAUAAGUUAUGCACUCAGAUCAUGGAUAUCUGGGAAUGUGACUCUCAAGGGAUUUUCAUGGAUUU